rnacentral:rRNA from 1 species
UACGUAGGGGGCAAGCGUUAUCCGGAUUUACUGGGUGUAAAGGGAGCGUAGACGGCUGUGCAGGCCAGAUGUGAAAGCCCGGGGCUCAACCCCGGGACUGCAUUUGGAACUGUGUAGCUGGAGUGUCGGAGAGGCAGGCGGAAUUCCUAGUGUAGCGGUGAAAUGCGUAGAUAUUAGGAGGAACACCAGUGGCGAAGGCGGCCUGCUGGACGAUGACUGACGUUGAGGCUCGAAAGCGUGGGGAGCAAACAGG